rnacentral:rRNA from 1 species
GACGAACGCUGGCGGCGUGCUUAACACAUGCAAGUCGAACGGAAAGGCCCUGCUUUUGUGGGGUGCUCGAGUGGCGAACGGGUGAGUAACACGUGAGUAACCUGCCCUUGACUUUGGGAUAACUUCAGGAAACUGGGGCUAAUACCGGAUAGGAGCUCCUGCUGCAUGGUGGGGGUUGGAACGUUUCGGCGGUUGGGGAUGGACUCGCGGCUUAUCAGCUUGUUGGUGGGGUAGUGGCUUACCAAGGCUUUGACGGGUAGCCGGCCUGAGAGGGUGACCGGCCAAAUUGGGACUGAGAUACGGCCCAGACUACUACGGGAGGCAGCAGUGGGGAAUAUUGCACAAUGGGCGGAAGCCUGAUGCAGCAACGCCGCGUGCGGGAUGACGGCCUUCGGGUUGUAACCCGCUUUCGCCUGUGACGAAGCGUGAGUGACGGUAAUGGGUAAAGAAGCACCGGCUAACUACGUG